GCCCCUGUGGCGGAAUUGGCAGACGCGCAGCGUUCAGGUCGCUGUUCACCUUGGUGAGUACUGGUUCGAAUCCAGCCAGGGGCA
rfam:Lactobacillus rossiae DSM 15814 Scaffold1, whole genome shotgun sequence.